AAAAAGGGUUAAUUUUUGGUGAAUGAUAGAUUGUUAUCAGGCGGACAAGCAUCUAAUCAUUGUUGGAAUUGGACUGAAAAUGGUAAAACUUGACUAGAAAAUAAGUGAUAAAAAUGAGGGACAGGCACCUCUCCCUUGUUCUCUUUUGUGUUCUGUCGUUUAGGGUUUUAAUACCCUUGCCCCUUAGCCGAUGUGGGUUUGAUGUGUAUAAUUUUUGUUGGUUUUUAUUUUUCCCGGUAGGUUGUGCUUAUGUGAGGGUUUCUACCUAAUGCCUGCAGCUUGAGCUUUUUCUCUAUGCUGAAAGUUGCUUAGUUGAUUCGGUUAUGGCUGCGGUAGUCUCCAUUUUGGGAGACUUCAAGGGGAACAGAGGAUGAUAUCUUGAGGACGUAUCUUCUGUAUCUUCUGUCAAAAUGAAGGCGUCAGUACCUUAAUGACUAUAUGAGAGUGAGAAGCCAAGAGCUAUGCCAAGCCUCUCUAGAUCUCGACUAUUGAGUUUUCUGGGCUCUCUUAAAGAUUGUCGAUGGAUGGUAGCAGCCAACUCUGCUCUUUUUCAUUUAGGGAUCUCUGUUUGGGUUGACUCAUUCUUUGACUUUGCAUGUCUCUUUGUUGUAUUUUCUUGGCCUACAUGUGGCCCUGGUGUUCCUGGUGAUGGAGCAGAUGGUUCCAGAAGGUUGAAGAUGGACGAGUGGCACUAAGAAUCAUGGAAUCGGGUCCCUGAACCAGGUUGGAGCUUUGAGCUGGUGCCUUUUAGAGUCUUAGGAUUUUCUUUAUAUUCUGGGUCACAAGCCUUUCUUUCUAGACCUGAUAGAUUAUUAUCUUUCUGUUUUGGGCAUCUGGCCUUGAUGAUGUAUCUCAGCCCUUGGGCUUGCACUUUCACUUUAUCAGCUAUGAAAUAUUUUUUAUCUCCUGAAAAAAAAAUCAGUUGUAUAUUAAUAAUAGAACAGAAGACCUAAAAAUGGUAAAGGGGAAAACGAUAUAUCAAAGGAAAACUUUACAGAUUAAAUGAAGCAUAAACCAGAAGAGAAGAGGUGAAAGGACCAAACCAUCUCUACUGGCAAACCCACG
rnacentral:lncRNA from 1 species